GCUCAGCGUCUCCCCUGGACGGUUUGGCAGUCAAUCAGGAUUAACCUGAGAGAGCUGGGAAGCAUUUCACCUGUGAAUAGGAUGCUUAAGGGCAGCGGCAGCCUGGUCCUUGCUGGAUGCCCUGGCAUGCCCAGGAUGGAAAGCGAAGGAGGCAGAGGGAGCCUGUGCAGAGGUGGCUCUGCCUGAGUUACUGUCACUUGCACAGCGAGUGGGGGACAGAAUCACAGAAUUUCUAGGUUGGAAGAGACCUUUAAGAUCAUCGAGUCCAACCCACGCUCCAACAUGCCAGGGGAGCUAUUGGCUAAUUCAGAACUGGGCUGGAGAGCAGGGGACACCCCGUCUCCGAGCCUGAACGUGCUAAUCGUGACCCAGGCUGCCUGAUGGGUGUUCUAGGAAAGCCAGAGAUGCCCAGGCGUGAGCAAUGGCUGGAUUGAGGAUGGGGGUGACCGGGGCGGCACAGGGUGGAGGUAAGCCAAAGGAGAACCCGGGAGCUGUCCUGGCCAGGAUGUUAGCGUUCAGGAACAUAUAAUCACAAGAAAUGAUUAUAUGCAGGUGCUUUUAUUGAAGAGCUCUGGGUGUCAGGGGUACAAGCCCAAAUCUGACUCCGACAUGGGUUCGGGAAGAACAUGUUUUUAUCUUCUACCGUUAUAUAACUUUCAUGUUAAUUAUUAAACUUAUAUAGUUCAAUUGUAUACAUAGAUUUCAGCCAAGCAUAGCCUCCUUAGACUAGGAACAUACAGUUUCUCAUGAUCCUUCUUAUGAUUAUACAAUAACUAUUUUUAAUUACUAAACAGUCAUCACAUCUAACAAUUAUAUCAUUUAUCAUACCACUUACGUAGGUACAAAGCUUAACCUUUUAAAGUCUAUCUUAACAUUUUCCCAGGGCCCUGCUAUCAAGGAGAGGUGGGAAGAUGCUCAUGGCUGGACAACAUGGUGGGGAGCUGGGGGGGAUGCUGGGGAGGCUGCUCGGCCUCCCAGGAAUACCGCCCUGGUGCAGGAGCUGUGGGAUCAGAAGCUGGAGAGCAGCAAUUUGUUUCUGAGCCCUGGGGAUUUCUGCACUGUGUUUUAUGAGGUGCUGUUUCAGGCAGGCCAAGAAGUGGGUUGUUUUCCGAGAAACCCCCUGGCUCCACCAGGCAGGCAUGUAUGUGAGGGGACAGUGCCAUCUGCCUGCUGGGACAGCCGGCAGCAGGGCAGUGGCACAGCCAUGGCACUGGCAAGGGACUGCAUAGUUUCAGCAUUAAGUCGGGACAAAAGGAACUGCUGGACUGAUCCUGUAAGGAGUGGGUCAAACAGCCUGGAAUGACUCACUUUGGAGCAGCACACACGGGUCUGUUUCCGCCUCUUCGUGUGAGCCUGGGCACAUCCCUCCCCAGCACUCCCUGUGCUUGGCAGGGGCCAGCAACCUCCCACUCCGAAAGCAGAAGUUGUCUCUGACCAGGCCUGGCAUGACAGGAGUGAGUGGCAGAGGCAGCUGCACGUGGGGGCACACUGGGCAGUGCACGGCCGCCACGCCACCAGCCUCAUGCUUCUACUGCUCCCACCCAUCCAGUAAACAAGUCCCGGGAACAGAGAUCUGAGUCAUCCACCAGCUCAAAAACACCCAAACAUGGUCAUGGCCAAGGAGCAGCUCCUCCGUGGGCCAGGCGUGGAAGGGGCUGCAGCAGUGGUGCAGUGCCUAGGCACAGCGAGGUUCCGCAAGACCCUGCAGUGAGGAUGCAGCAGCUCUUCCUGGGACAGACAGAGUCAUCAGUGGGACAGCCAGAGCCUUGAGGAUCUCUGUUAUCCCAUGGCUGUGAUGCACCCAGCUGGACACAAAUGGGGAUGGCCCAAUCCUGCCAGCGCUGCAGCUGCACACAGCCCCAGGCAUGUGGUGUGCAUCAGCCCCUGUAACACCAGUGGCACCUUCCAAAUCUGCUCCUUGUCCAGGGAAGGAUACAACAGUCAUGGGAAUAUUACCUCCAUGGCAAACACAUAGAGAGACCAGUUUAAAUUAAAAAAAAAGUCCUAUUCUGCAUGACUGCACUCAGCAGCAGUACAACCCUGCUGGGGACAGAAGCUUUUUGAGUGUCCUAAGGCACCUCAACCCGGAGACCCAGAGUUCAUGGGGUCAGAGCAAGGUAGGGGUGGGUCUGGACUGGGAUCCAGCUGGCUGUCUCCACCUUCUAAAAAUACAAGGCAUAGCACAUCUCGGCUUUCAGCCCAGGAGCCCUCCCCACCAGACUCCAUCUAUGCCAAUGAGGCAUCAUCUGUGGGAUCUGUUAGACCUGAAAAUUGGGAGAUUCCAAAGGAAACAGUUUCCAGAAGCACAGUGCCUCUUUCCAUGUUUACGGUUCAUUUAAAAUGAUCACUCCUUUCUCAUGCAAAAAUUAAGCUUGAAACAGGAAGAAAA